UAGCUCAGUCGGUAGAGCAGAGGACUGAAAAUCCUCGUGUCGGUGGUUCGAUUCC
rnacentral:tRNA from 1 species